CCCCCAGAAUUUAAGCAUAUUAAUAAGGGGAGGAGAAGAAACCAACCGGGAUUCCCUGAGUAGCUGCGAGCGAAACGGGAGAAGCUCAGCACGUAGGGACGGUGUGUAACUGCACCUGUCCGAUUCCGUGUACUGGAACGACCAUUAUCUACUAUGCACGGUGCAAACAGUUCAAGUUCAACUUGAAGGUGGCUCAUCUACCCAGAGAGGGUUGAUAGGCCCGUAGAACGGCACUAACCCACGUGACAGUAGACGGUCGGCUCCAUGGAGUCGUGUUGCUUGAUAGUGCAGCACUAAGUGGGAGGUAAACUCCUUCUAAAGCUAAAUACCACCAUGGAGCCGACCGUCUACUGUCACGUGGGU
rnacentral:rRNA from 1 species